UGCAAGUGUAUCGUGGUCAUAUGCUUAUUAUACAGAGUCAAUUGGUCCAUAAUUAAAAAAGAAUAUGAAUAUUAACAAUCUAAAUUUUUUGUCUUUAGCAAUCAAAGCAAUAUCCUCCGAGAUUUAGGGUAUUUACCUAAUUAGGAAGAAAGUUUUGUGUACGUGAAGCAAUUUCUCUAUUAUAUGCCCUUUAGUUGAGAAGGUUCUUCUAGAAAUAUAUAGACGGUCAGCAGAGAUUUCUUUUUUUGAAGAAAAUGGAGUAAAAUAUUUAGGUGAAAAAGUGAUGAAAAUAACUUAAUUAAAAAGAAAGAUAAAAGGUAAAUGGGGUAAAAGUGAUGAAAAUAACUUGAUUAAAAAGAAAGA
rnacentral:lncRNA from 1 species